UCCAGACUCCUACGGGAGGCAGCAGUGAGGAAUAUUGGUCAAUGGCCGAGAGGCUGAACCAGCCAAGUCGCGUGAGGGAAGACGGCCCUACGGGUUGUAAACCUCUUUUGUCGGGGAGCAAAGCGAGUCACGUGUGACUCAUUGAGAGUACCCGAAGAAAAAGCAUCGGCUAACUCCGUGCCAGCAGCCGCGGUAAUACGGAGGAUGCGAGCGUUAUCCGGAUUUAUUGGGUUUAAAGGGUGCGUAGGCGGGUUGUAAGGUCAGCGGUAAACGCCCGGGCCUCACCCCCGGCGAGCCGUUGAAACUGGCUGUCUUGAGAUGUCGAGAGGUAUGCGGAAUGCGCAGUGUAGCGGUGAAAUGCUUAGAUAUUGCGCAGAACUCCGAUUGCGAAGGCAGCAUACCGGCGGCGAUCUGACGCUGAGGCACGAAAGCGUGGGUAUCGAACAGGAUUAGAUACCCUAGUA
rnacentral:rRNA from 1 species